CAGGGAUUGGAUGUCCAGGGCAGGCUCUGAGGCUGAGCAACGCCAUCAGCCCCCAGGUCCCCUGGCUGGCGACUCUGUUAUGUGUGCUGUUUGUUCCUCAUGAUCUCAAGAUGGCUGCUGCUAAUCCAGCUGUGAUAUCUGUGCUUCAAGAAGAAAAGAGGGAUGACAUAAAAUCUGUAAAGCGGAGAGAAUCAUCACUGACUUUGAGGUUGUCGUGAGGCUGAGAUGAGCAGACCUAUGCAAAGUCCUCCCAGCAGUACUGGCAUAUGGCAAGCACUCAGUGAGGAAUUGAAAUACUACCUUUGUCACAUAUUAAAUUAUGAUAUAUACUGAGAUCUAUUUUUGGAUCCACUCUUCUGUUCCACUGAUUUGUCUACUCUUAUGCCAAUACCAUGUUGAUUGUAUUACAGUGAUUUUUAUCACAGCAGCUUUCAGUUGAAG
rnacentral:lncRNA from 1 species